ensembl:lncRNA
AUGACAUCUGACAGGUUUCACUUGUUGUUUUUAUUGAUUUAAAUUACCCACCUUCUGGGCAGUUAAUCAUUUUAAACUUUCUAAAAUUUGGGUUAUAUAGGUCUUUUAAGAAAAUGAAAUUAUAAAGUGUGUGGUUUUUUUAAUAACGAGGUAACGUGUUAUUCCAGGAAAAGAGACCUGUGCACUAUGCUUAAGCAAAGACAAUAGAAUACCCUUAAAUGAAUAUUCCAAAUUCAAGACUUAUUUUGUAAUGUGUGUAAGAGUUAAUUGUAAAAUGAAUACCAUAUCCAUAAUGUUUUUGUCUAUUUAACCUGCAGAUUUAAAGAAUGUCUUUGGACUACACAUCUACUCAACAGAGCCAGAGUUCGAGCUGUGUCUUUCACUCAUGUUCAGGUUUACUGCCCCAGUUUUGUGCCAGGUCACUGUCAGAUGUUAGCUGACUUUCUUUGGAUUCGCCUCAGGUUUUGUGCCACUCCAGCCUCUGUCAGUUGCCAGCCAACUUUCUUUGUUUGUUUUCAUUCUUUGUCUUAUGCCAUCCAGGUCACUGUCAGUUGCUGGCCGAUUUCUCUUGGUUUCGCCCCAGGUAUUGGGCCGUCCAGGCCACUGUUGGGUCAACCCAACAUGCUGAGGUUCUUGGAUGCUUCAUUGAGAUGAUCGACAUCACUGGGAUGCAUAAAAUGUACAUUAUGUAAAUUAAAUAUAUUUAUGAUCAAGCAAAUCUGCAUUCACCUCAUGAGGUUUCUGUUAUUCUGCUUUUGAUGUUCAUUCAAUGAUUCAACUCUCAAAAAGACAUUGACUGUACUCCACCCUGUGGUGUAAUGAUGUAAUGAUCAGGAGGUCAAUGUGUUACAUUUAUAUUGUGCUUUUCUGGCUACUCAGAGUGCAUUGUAUUUACAUGGAAGGGGGAAUCUCCUCAACCAUGACUCGUUUAUGACUCAUUGAACGAAUCUGAACAAAAGUGAACAUAAGAAAAAGAUUCAAGUAAAAUGAUUCAUAAUCAACACCACUAAUAUAGAUUUUAUAGAUGUGAACCAAAACCAAAACAAAACAAACCUUUGUAUGUGUAAGCAUAUUGGCCAAUAAAGCUCUUUUUGACUGAAUAAUUUUUGUGAAA